rnacentral:rRNA from 1 species
AUGGAGGUGAAGCUGUGGAACGACAAGCGCGAGCGGGAGCUCCUGGAGAGCCUGGCGGACCUGUACGCGAUCAUCAAGGCCACGGAGAAGCUGGAGCGCGCCUACGUCCGCGACCUCGUCUCCGCCGCCGACUACGAGGCCUACCGCCUCGACUGCCCCGCCGCCCUCAACCGCCUCGUCCAGUCCGGCGUCCCCGCCACCAUCGAGCUCCGCGCCGCCACCGCCUCCUCCUCCGCGCCGGCCGCCACCGCGGCCUCCGCAUCCGCCAUCGCCCAGUGCGUCCAGAGCUUCAUCACCGCCAUGGACGCCGUCAAGCUCAAUAUGCUCGCCAACGACCAGGUCCGCCCCCUGCUCCACGACCUCUCCACCUCCAUGGGGAAGCUCGGUACCGUCCUGCCGCCCGACUUCGAGGGGAAGGUCAAGGUGAACGAGUGGCUCGCGAAGCUGCAUAAGAUGGGGGCCGGGGACGAGCUUACAGAUCAGCAGGCCAGACAGCUCAAUUUUGAUCUGGAAUCAGCGUAUAGUGCGUUUAUGGCCUCGCUUCCCACUGCUGGCCUGUGA